rnacentral:snRNA from 1 species
CUUCUUGAUGGAGAUGUCUUUAA